rnacentral:rRNA from 1 species
GGCUCAGAUUGAACGCUGGCGGCAGGCCUAACACAUGCAAGUCGAGCGGUAACAGGGGUAGCUUGCUACCCGCUGACGAGCGGCGGACGGGUGAGUAAUGCAUAGGAAUCUGCCCGAUAGUGGGGGAUAACCUGGGGAAACCCAGGCUAAUACCGCAUACGUCCUACGGGAGAAAGGGGGCUYCGGCUCCCGCUAUUGGAUGAGCCUAUGUCGGAUUAGCUAGUUGGUGAGGUAAAGGCUCACCAAGGCGACGAUCCGUAGCUGGUCUGAGAGGAUGAUCAGCCACAUCGGGACUGAGACACGGCCCGAACUCCUACGGGAGGCAGCAGUGGGGAAUAUUGGACAAUGGGCGAAAGCCUGAUCCAGCCAUGCCGCGUGUGUGAAGAAGGCCCUCGGGUUGUAAAGCACUUUCAGCGAGGAAGAACGCCUAGUGGUUAAUACCCAUUAGGAAAGAC